rnacentral:rRNA from 1 species
UACGGGGGGAGCAAGCGUUGUCCGGAAUUAUUGGGCGUAAAGGGUGCGUAGGCGGACUAGUAAGUCUGGUGUGAAAGUUUGCGGCUUAACCGUAAAAGGCCACUGGAUACUGUUAGUCUUGAAUCACAGAGGGGGUAGUGGAAUUCCAGGUGUAGCGGUGAAAUGCGUAGAGAUCUGGAGGAACACCGGUGGCGAAGGCGACUGCCUGGCUGUGAAUUGACGCUGAGGCACGAAAGCGUGGGUAGCAAACAGG